rnacentral:rRNA from 1 species
UACGUAGGGUGCAAGCGUUGUCCGGAUUUAUUGGGCGUAAAGAGCUCGUAGGCGGCUUGUCACGUCGGGUGCGAAAGACCGGGGCUUAACUCCGGUUCUGCAUUCGAUACGGGCUAGCUAGAGUGUGGUAGGGGAGAUCGGAAUUCCUGGUGUAGCGGUGAAAUGCGCAGAUAUCAGGAGGAACACCGGUGGCGAAGGCGGAUCUCUGGGCCAUUACUGACGCUGAGGAGCGAAAGCGUGGGGAGCGAACAGG